rnacentral:rRNA from 1 species
GACGAACGCUGGCGGCGUGCUUAACACAUGCAAGUCGAACGGAAAGGCCCUGCUUUUGUGGGGUGCUCGAGUGGCGAACGGGUGAGUAACACGUGAGUAACCUGCCCUUGACUUUGGGAUAACUUCAGGAAACUGGGGCUAAUACCGGAUAGGAGCUCCUGCUGCAUGGUGGGGGUUGGAAAGUUUCGGCGGUUGGGGAUGGACUCGCGGCUUAUCAGCUUGUUGGUGGGGUAGUGGCUUACCAAGGCUUUGACGGGUAGCCGGCCUGAGAGGGUGACCGGCCACAUUGGGACUGAGAUACGGCCCAGACUCCUACGGGAGGCAGCAGUGGGGAAUAUUGCACAAUGGGCGGAAGCCUGAUGCAGCAACGCCGCGUGCGGGAUGACGGCCUUCGGGUUGUAAACCGCUUUCGCCUGUGACGAAGCGUGAGUGACGGUAAUGGGUAAAGAAGCACCGGCUAACUACGUGCCAGCAGCCGCGGUGAUACGUAGGGUGCGAGCGUUGUCCGGAUUUAUUGGGCGUAAAGGGCUCGUAGGUGGUUGAUCGCGUCGGAAGUGUAAUCUUGGGGCUUAACCCUGAGCGUGCUUUCGAUACGGGUUGACUUGAGGAAGGUAGGGGAGAAUGGAAUUCCUGGUGGAGCGGUGGAAUGCGCAGAUAUCAGGAGGAACACCAGUGGCGAAGGCGGUUCUCUGGGCCUUUCCUGACGCUGAGGAGCGAAAGCGUGGGGAGCGAACAGGCUUAGAUACCCUGGUAGUCCACGCUGUAAACGGUGGGUACUAGGUGUGGGGUCCAUUCCACGGGUUCCGUGCCGUAGCUAACGCUUUAAGUACCCCGCCUGGGGAGUACGGCCGCAAGGCUAAAACUCAAAGGAAUUGACGGGGCCCCGCACAAGCGGCGGAGCAUGCGGAUUAAUUCGAUGCAACGCGUAGAACCUUACCUGGGUUUGACAUGGAUCGGAAGCGCUCAGAGAUGGGUGUGCCUCUUUUGGGGUCGGUUCACAGGUGGUGCAUGGCUGUCGUCAGCUCGUGUCGUGAGAUGUUGGGUUAAGUCCCGCAACGAGCGCAACCCUUGUUCACUGUUGCCAGCACGUUAUGGUGGGGACUCAGUGGAGACCGCCGGGGUCAACUCGGAGGAAGGUGGGGAUGACGUCAAGUCAUCAUGCCCCUUAUGUCAGGGCUUCACGCAUGCUACAAUGGCUGGUACAGAGAGUGGCGAGCCUGUGAGGGUGAGCGAAUCUCGGAAAGCCGGUCUCAGUUCGGAUUGGGGUCUGCAACUCGACCUCAUGAAGUCGGAGUCGCUAGUAAUCGCAGAUCAGCAACGCUGCGGUGAAUACGUUCCCGGG